GGGGAAGCGAGCGGGGCCUGCCCGGGCCUGGCCUGCCGCUACUGCCGCUGCCCCCCGCGUGCGCUCCUGGGCGCCGCCAUGCCGCGUGACGUCACCCGCCGCGUGACGUCACUGCGCGGCGCCGGGCGGGAUGGGAGCUCGCGCGCGGUGUCCCGUGAGGAGUGUGGGAGAGGCCUCUGGAAUGGCGGCCCCAAAUGAACACCUAGGGCUGCGCAUCGCCGGCAGGGCGCAUUCAGGAACAAAGAUCUGUAGUCACCCUUGCCUGUGUGUUCGUGUGGGCCUGUUUGUUACGGGUAUGGGUGCCACUUUCCCGGGUGCUCUGCAGCUGUCUUCAUCAAGGAAGGAUUAUUUGAAAUCAGCCUGGUACUGUCUUUUCAAGGUUACACAGCUCCUGUUUUCAAACGAAGGUUCCAAUUCACUCUGGAUUUCACUAAAGCAGCAUGAAAUAGCUCUUGAUUUUAAUACAAUAGCUAUAACAAGGUUAGAAUGAAGCUGAGAGUAGAGCUUUAUUUUUGAGAAGAGAGGAGUGGAAAAGGGAGGAGCUGAAAGCAGCAGCAGUGGAAGGCAAGUCAUAUGUGACUUUAAUCACAGAUGAGAAUGAGAGACCACUUGCCUGCAGGUUUAUUAUCAGAGGGGAUUCAUUUUUUUAUAUGUGGUUUUAGAACAAAAUAUGCAAACUUUAUUUUUUCUGUCAAAUAUAUGGGUCAAAAUGAGAUAUAUUUAAUCUAAUUCCUUCUGUGAUCUUUAUUCUAGUCCAGAAAUAUAUUUAUUGAAGAAAAAAAUAAUUUUUUUAUUCUGCUUUUCACAUUUCCAGGAUAUUUGUAGAUCUCUUUGACAUAUCUAUGAAUUUUAAAGUUAAUGAGAAUCAUGUCUGCUCAGUUUCCUGGACUGAGUUAGAAGGACAGUUUUUUAAAGACAGUAUGAAAGAGAUGUUUUUCUAAAUGUUUACACAUUUUUAAAAACUCUCUUCCUUAGUGGCUUACAAAAUUUAUGUAAAAUAGAACAUGAGAAAUCAACCUAAUUGCAUAUUUAAACUCCAUAUUUUUCAGUCUUCAAAACUGAAUUAUGAAAUUUCUUGUUUGAAAACAGCAUUGAGUUCCUAUUCAAGGCAUGCAAAAGAAAAUACCUGUGACCUCAGAAGAUCUCUAAGAUUCGUGAGAACUUCUUGCAAGGUGAAAUAACCACAGCUUGGCUGCAAAACAACUUGCAAAAGGAUUUUCCUAACUAACUGCGUUUGGGAUUGGGUAUAUUUUCCUUAUACUUACCAUUAGCAGAAACCUGCAUGUCAGGAUUCUAAAUUUGAGGAAGGAGCAUUGUCUAAAACUUUAUUUCCUCUUGUAGAGCUAGUUCCUUACCUACUCUGAGAGAACUUAGAUUCAGUAACAACUAUUUAUUAUAUUUGCUGUCUAAUGAUGCUCAAAAAGAUUUUGCAAAGGAGAUGUUCAAAAAAGUGUUUCUCAUUUUAAUUCAUCAUCAUGCCUUGAAAAUUC
rnacentral:lncRNA from 1 species